GAAAGGAGUCGUUACAAAACUUCCCAUAUCUUUUUGAUAUUUAAAAACUCUGCCAACCUCUGUCUUCAGAGACAGACACAGACUCUGCUUCAGACAUUUCCUAUGCUGGCAUGGGCAUAGUUCACUGCUAUCCAGAUAGAAGCAGAACGGUUCAUGAAGAGAUUUUUUCGUUCUAUUGUGAUGGAAGGAAGGGAAUUCCGCUACUUGAAGGUUACUAAAAGUUGGACCUCAGAUACUGGAGUAUUUACACAGGAGUUGCAUAAGCAGGAGGGAAGGUGGAGGUUUUAGCUUGCUCAGAUUUUAAUGAAUCUGUGGAAAAGACAGG